GGGGCUGUAGCUCAGUGGCAGAGCACUUGCCUGACACGUACGAGGCAGAGGGUUCAAUCCUUAGCGCCA
rnacentral:tRNA from 1 species